rnacentral:rRNA from 1 species
UACGUAGGGUGCAAGCGUUAAUCGGAAUUACUGGGCGUAAAGCGUACGCAGGCGGCUUUGCAAGACAGGUGUGAAAUCCCCGGGCCUAACCUGGGAACUGCAUUUGUGACUGCAUAGCUAGAGUUUGUCAGAGGGGGGUGGAAUUCCACGUGUAGCAGUGAAAUGCGUAGAUAUGCGGAGGAACACCGAUGGCGAAGGCAAUCCCCUGGGCCUGCACUGACGCUCAUGCACGAAAGCGUGGGGAGCAAACAGG